rnacentral:rRNA from 1 species
UACGUAGGGUGCGAGCGUUGUCCGGAAUUACUGGGCGUAAAGCGCGCGUAGGCGGCUUUGCAAGUCGGGUGUGAAAUCCCCAGGCUUAACCUGGGAACUGCAUUCGAGACUGCAUUGCUAGAGUAUGGGAGAGGGAAGUGGAAUUUCCGGUGUAGCGGUGAAAUGCGUAGAUAUCGGAAGGAACAUCAGUGGCGAAAGCGGCUCACUGGACCUGAUCUGACACUGAGGUGCGAAAGCUAGGGUAGCAAACGGG